CCCCCACAACCCAGCUCACAAAAGGGUGUGUUGCAGUUUACCUGUGGUGAUUAAAUUAACCUUUUAGCAACUAUUUGAAAAACAAUGGGCAUGAGAGGCUAUAAAAAUCUUAGGUGUGCUGGAGUUUGUCCUUUUUAACAGAAAACCUUCUUGGAGAGCUGCUGGACUCAAAAAGAGGUAAGACCUUGUGCCUUUAACUCUGAAACUAUAAAGCCACUUUUUGCCCAGGCUGUCUUAGUAAAUAAUGGUGCCUGUAUGUAUUUCAGGGGUGGAUCUGUUUAGCAUGGAACCAGGCCAAGGCCCAAGCACACAUGGGGGGGAACAGAACAACCAUGUCCCUGCAACACUUUAUCCCAUAGUAAAAGUACAGUCAAAACAUGAGAAAUCCUUAGACCAGAGGGAAAACAAACUCAAAAGAAAAAGGAAGGAGACGGCUGAAAAGGAAAAUUCACCAGCAUCAGUGACUGAAGGAUGCAUGAAGCCCUG